rnacentral:rRNA from 1 species
AUGGGAGCGUACCAGCCACUGCAUCACCAGCACAGCCAGAAGCCGUCCUCGACUCACCAUGGCAGAGUCGUCUUGGCCUGGCUCUUCUCCGCCGUGCUCUGCCUGGCUCUCCUCCACCUCAUCUGCUGCUCCCCGCGCGCCGCACGCGAAAAUGUCAUCGUCUCGCCUCUGCUCCAGUACAUCACCAGCGCCUACAUUGAAGGUACUACGCAAGGAUCGACUUCUUCCGGCUGCGACUACUCGGAGGGGCAGUGGGUGCGGGCGGCGGGGCACGCCCGGCGGUACAACGGCACCGAGUGCAACGUCAAGGACAGCGAGAACUGCGUCCGCAACGGGCGCCCCGACACCGGCUACCUCGACUGGCGGUGGCAGCCGGCGGCGCCCGGGUGCCAGCUCCCGGGCUUCGACGCCGCGGCGUUCCUCGGCGCGGUCCGCGAGCACGUGGCCUUCGUCGGCGACUCCAUGGCGCGGAACCAGGCCGAGUCGCUGGUCUGCCUCCUGGGUGCGUCGUUCCCGUACCAUCUCGUGUACCGCGACCCGGAGCCCGGGACGCGCAAGUUCUGGCGCUGGGCGUUCCCGACGCACAACGUCACGGUGUCCGUCUACUGGGCGCCGUUCCUGGCGCGGGCCACGGGCAGGUGCGACAACUACAGCCUGCCCUACAACUCGGUGCACCUCGACGCGCUCGCCGACCGCUGGUCCGCCGACGCCGGCACCAUGGACGUGGCCGUCGUCAGCACCGGCCACUGGUUCUGGAACCCUAGCGUCUACUACAACGGCGGCGAGGUGCUCGGGACGCACCUCCUCCCGGAGCUCAACCACACCGGGAUCGGCUUCCUCUCGCCGUACCGGGAGGCCAUCCGGGCGUCCAUACGGCGCCUCGCCUCGGCCGGCCGCGCGCGCGCCGUGGUCGUGGCUACCUUCUCGCCGGCGCACUUCGAGAAGGCGUGGGACGACCCCGCCACGUGCGCCAGGAGGCUGCCGUACACGGAGGGGGAAAGGGAGGUGGAUGCCACGCACGCCGAGCUUAGAAGCAUCGUCAGAGAAGAGACGACCGCGGCGGCGGCCAGGGACGGCGGGGCGACCAGGGUUGAGGUGCUGGACGUGACCAAGCUGGCGACCAUGCGGCCGGACGGGCAUCCCGGCGUGUACAUGAAGCGCGACCCGUUCGCGCGCGGCGUGCCCGAGCGGCUGCAGAGCGACUGCCUCCACUUCUGCCUCCCCGGACCGGUCGACACAUUCAACGAGAUUCUGCUCCAGCUGCUCCUCGCCAAGCGCGAGUGA